rnacentral:rRNA from 1 species
CCAGACUCCUACGGGAGGCAGCAGUGGGGGAUAUUGCACAAUGGGGGAAACCCUGAUGCAGCGACGCCGCGUGAGUGAAGAAGUAAUUCGUUACGUAAAGCUCUAUCAGCAGGGAAGAAAAUGACGGUACCUGACUAAGAAGCCCCGGCUAACUACGUGCCAGCAGCCGCGGUAAUACGUAGGGGGCAAGCGUUAUCCGGAAUUACUGGGUGUAAAGGGAGCGCAGACGGCAGUGCAAGUCUGGAGUGAAAGCCCGGGGCUCAACCCCGGGACUGCAUUUGGAACUGUGUGGCUGGAGUGUCGGAGAGGCAGGCGGAAUUCCUAGUGUAGCGGUGAAAUGCGUAGAUAUUAGGAGGAACACCAGUGGCGAAGGCGGCCUGCUGGACGAUGACUGACGUUGAGGCUCGAAAGCGUGGGGAGCAAACAGGAUUAGAUACCCCAGUACGC